rnacentral:tRNA from 1 species
GGUGGGUUGGCUCAGUGGUGAGAGCUUAGGUCUCGUAACCGAAAGGUCGCGUGAUCGAAUCCCCCUACAGGCUG